rnacentral:lncRNA from 1 species
ACAAUAAUCCUUUGCCACAAACAGCCAGCACAAAGGAAUCUUUUACCUUUCUGCUGGGAUUAAAGGCUGACCCUCAUGCGUCUGACUUCCGUCUGCUUCUGAAGUUACACACCCAUUGCAAUGAAAGAUGCCAUUUGCGCCAUUAGCAAGCAUGGAGCAUCAGCAGCACAACAGAGCACGAGGUCCCAUGCACUACUUUGUUUUCACUUCAGAUGAAUCUAUGCUGGUUCCACAUGUAUGUCCAACGGAAUCUGCAGAACUCAUAUAUGGUUUUUUUUCCCACUUAGCCAGGUCUGCCUGGCUGCCAAGCAGACAUGGAAACUGUGGUCUGGAAGACACUGGAAGCUGAAAAGGUCUUCGGUGAAUGCCCCUCACUCUGCCACAUUCAAGUACCAGUGCUGACAGAGAGAUGGGAACUGUGCAGGCUCCACAGAGUGAAGGCAUACCUCAGGGAGUCUCGCGGGAAGCAAAAGGAGGCUUCUUUGUGCGCAACCAUAUCCCUGCUCCUGAGAAGCUUCACGUUGAGGCUCUGCUUUCCUACCUCGUUCAGGCGCCCUGAGGAGAGCUUGGACAACAGCAAAGAGUCUGGUUGAAGAGCACAUUGGGGAGACACAGAAGACCAUUUAAAGCAGCUGACUUUGGUCUUACAGGACAGAAAUUAAGGUUUGUGUUCAAGGAUCCAGAAGAUGGAUUUUCACGACUUCUUACUUAACAAAACUAAUCCCAGUGUGAAACUUGCAGGUGUUGAUUACAAUAUGUAUACUGACACAGUUAAGAUGCAUUUGAGACAAGGCAAGACUGUAACCCC